UACGGGGGGGGCAAGCGUUGUUCGGAAUUACUGGGCGUAAAGGGCGCGUAGGUGGCCCGGCAAGCGUGCGGUGAAAGCUCGGGGCUCAACCCCGAGUCGGCCGUGCGAACUGCUGGGCUCGAGCACUGUAGAGGCAGGCGGAAUUCCGGGUGUAGCGGUGGAAUGCGUAGAGAUCCGGAAGAACACCGGUGGCGAAGGCGGCCUGCUGGGCAGUGGCUGACACUGAGGCGCGACAGCGUGGGGAGCAAACAGG
rnacentral:rRNA from 1 species